CACUUGAACACAACGAAAUAAAAGGUUUUCAACGCUUACAAUACAGGAACACUUGAACACAACGAAAUAAAAGGUUUUCAUCGCUUACAAUACAGGAACACUUGAACACAACGAAAUAAAAGGUUUUCAUCGCUUACAAUACAGGAACACUUGAACACAACGAAAUAAAAGGUUUUCAUCGCUUACAAUACAGGAACACUUGAACACAACGAAAUAAAAGGUUUUCAUCGCUUACAAUACAGGAACACUUGAACACAACGAAAUAAAAGGUUUUCAUCGCUUACAAUACAGGAACACUUGAACACAACGAAAUAAAAGGUUUUCAUCGCUUACAAUACAGGAACACUUGAACACAACGAAAUAAAAGGUUUUCAACGCUUACAAUACAGGAACACUUGAACACAACGAAAUAAAAGGUUUUCAUCGCUUACAAUACAGGAACACUUGAACACAACGAAAUAAAAGGUUUUCAUCGCUUACAAUACAGGAACACUUGAACACAACGAAAUAAAAGGUUUUCAUCGCUUACAAUACAGGAACACUUGAACACAACGAAAUAAAAGGUUUUCAUCGCUUACAAUACAGGAACACUUGAACACAACGAAAUAAAAGGU